UUUUUUUUUUUUUUUCUCUCGCUACCAAUGCUUGGGGUUUCAAUUUGUAAUCAGCAACGCCCCACUAGCAUAGGCAUGCACACGGGGUGUGCCUGGGCACUCCCUAAUCCCCGCGGCACGCCUAUGGAUUGAGUCCUGCAGAAACAGAGUUCCUGCACUUUUUUUUGAGCAGGAACACUGUUCCUGCAGGCACUCAGCGCCCCCAAAUGCUACCCUUCCUUCCCCCCGUGUUCCCCCUGUCAUGGGGGGGGCAAGGUGAUGG